AGGGUGGGACAAGAGGCUCAGGGGGUUCUAUAAGGGCUCUAUAGGGUGGGACAGGAGGCUCAGAGGGUCCUAUGGGGAUUCCAUAGGGUCAGACCAGCAGUACAGGUGGCUCUAUAGGGGAUCUAUAGGGCUCAGCUGAGGGGCACAGGUGGUUCCAUAGGGGCUCUAUAGGGUGAGACAGCAGGUACAGGUGGUUCUAUAGGGGUUCUAUAGGGUGAGACAGCAGGUGCAGGUGGUUCUAUAGGGGCUCUGUAGGGUGGGAUAGCAGGUGCAGGUGGUUCUAUAGGGCCAGGGGGUUCUAUAGGGUGGGACAGGAGGCUCAGGGGGUUCUGUAGGGGCUCUAUAGGGUGGGACAGCAGGUACAGGUGGUUCUAUAGGGCCAGGUGGCUCUAUAGGGGAUCUAUAGGGCUCAGCUGA
rnacentral:lncRNA from 12 species